rnacentral:lncRNA from 1 species
GAUAAUGGAUGAGCAUUGGACAGGAAGGAAGGAUCAUUAAUCGGUAACGUCACCCAAGUUAACCGGAUCAGUCAGUCAUCCAACCCACGAGCUUUUCUUGGGCUAACCAAACAGGAAAGUGCCACAAGCAGGCACGGCACUCAGACUCAGACACGCUUCUUGUGGACGCACCAAAACGCCGCACUAGCCGUUAUUUAUCUUUUUUCCUAUGACCAUAAUGCCCGUUAUACCCUUCGUCAGAUGGG